rnacentral:rRNA from 1 species
CAGCACCUCAAGUGGUCAGGAUGAUUAUUGGGCCUAAAGCAUCCGUAGCCGGCGCUGUAAGUUUUCGGUUAAAUCUGUACGCUCAACGUACAGGCUGCCGGGAAUACUGCAGCGCUAGGGAGUGGGAGAGGUAGACGGUACUCGGUAGGAAGGGGUAAAAUCCUUUGAUCUAUUGAUGACCACCUGUGGCGAAGGCGGUCUACCAGAACACGUCCGACGGUGAGGGAUGAAAGCUGGGGGAGCAAUCCGGAUUAGAGACCCGCGUAGUCC